CUUACCCUCUCUGCAUCUCUCUCGCUGUAGCACCCGCGGCUCUCUCACACUCAUGCACACCGAUACGUGCGGAGGUGAGCGCACGUAUCGGCAGGCAAGCAUGCAGCUGCACACACCAGACACGCCUACCACACGCACUUGCUGAAUACCACACACAACAGGAUACUUGUGCAUUAUUUGUCUUUGUAUUUUCCGUUUUCGUUCUGCGUUUCUCUUCUCCACCUCAUAGUUGUGACGCAUCAAGAUUGGGUCUCACCCUUUCCCUCCCCACCCCUGUACAGCGGAACAGACAUACACGCAGGUAUACACACACAUGCCCAGCUACACCGAUCUGACAUGCAAGCGCGCAUUUUUUUUUCGCUGGCCUCCGGUGUAUCGCUGCCCCCUUCCCCCUCCCUUUUUCCCUCCCCUUCACCCACCCACUUGCGUGUGUGUGCUAUUCGUUUCUCCUGUUCGUUUUAUCUAUUUUUGCUUUCUUCUCCUGAAAUGUCCCCCCCCCCUCUCUCGGUGUGCGUGCGUGCGUGCGUGGGUGUGUCGGUGCGUGUGGCCGGGCUCUUCGUCUUUCUCUGGAGGCGUCCGCCUUGCUGGUCUUCUCGCGCUCUGUUCCUCUUGCCUUCGGCGAUUUCUCGUGUUCUGCCGGAUCCGCAUAAUGCGCAUGCACGGCUUGCCUUGUAAGCUGGGCACACUACGGCGUGACUAAACCCCCUCCCCCAACUCCCUGGCACACAGUGUACGCCCACGAAACCGUAGCUGACCCUCCCACUUCUCCUUCCUUUGAUUGUGUUCAGCGUGCCUUGAUAUUAUGCUGCUCUGGCUGUUGCGUGAGCGUGCGCGCGCGCGGGGUAUUUCAUGCGCGAGAAGGGGGCGAGGAGUGUGUCUGUCUGUCUCUGUGUGUGUCUGUGUGCCGGUGUUGCCGCCCUUCUUCCCUCCUCAUUUCACCCACCUAUAUCCCCCCCGCCCAUCUCCUCUCCACUUUCUCCGUCUUUGUGUCAAGCGGAUGCCAUCACAGCGCGACGGCUCGCAGAAAGAGCUGAGGAGGGAAAGGUAAAUCACGGAUCGGCGAUCCGCUCUCGCACACGUGUAGACAUAAGCGAGGCGCGCACACACACACACACUCACGCAAAAAGCGAAAGGAAGAAAACGACCCGGUGCAGGCAUGGUGAGAGGGGUGAGGUGUGUGUGUGUGUGUUUUGGUGGGCGGCAGCCUGAAACGUGGCUGUGAACAUCAAG
rnacentral:misc_RNA from 1 species